GAGAAGAGAAGAAAAGAAAAGAAAAGCAAAAGCUUGCACACUUAAGUUUAAAACUUCCCUUUUCCUCUCUCUUCAUGUGGGACUUGCGUUUCUCCUUCAUCUUUCUCCAAAUUUAGUUUGCUGUUUAGGUUUCUUGUUUUUGCUCUUUAGAUUCUUUCCAAGUCUUAGCUUACUAUCUUCAGCACCUACUGUAUUUCCCCUCCUUUUGAUAAGAAAAAACUUACAGAAGCUAAAAGCUUAGGGAAAUAUUAAUUAAAAGCUUAACAAGAAGGAGCAAAUCAUAGUAUACCCGAUGGUGAGAAAGGCUGCUCCAUUGUCAGGUUGGCCUUGGGAGAACUUGGGAAU
rnacentral:misc_RNA from 1 species